rnacentral:rRNA from 1 species
CCUACGGGAGGCAGCAGUGGGGAAUAUUGCACAAUGGGGGAAACCCUGAUGCAGCGACGCCGCGUGAGCGAAGAAGUAUUUCGGUAUGUAAAGCUCUAUCAGCAGGGAAGAAAAUGACGGUACCUGAGUACGAAGCUCCGGAGAAAUACGUGCCAGCAGCCGCGGUAUUACGUAGGGUGAAAGCGUUAUCCGGAUUUACUGGGCGUAAAGGUAGCGUAGGCGGCCUGCCAAGUCGGAUGUGAAAUACCGGGGCUCAACCCCGGGACUGCAUUGGAAACUGGCAGGCUGGAGUGCAGUAGAGGGGGGUAGAAUUCCUGGUGUAGCGGUGAAAUGCGUAGAGAUCUGGAGGAACACCAGUGGCGAAGGCGGCCUGCUGGACAGUGACUGACGCUGAGGCGCGAAAGCGUGGGGAGCAAACAGGAUUAGAUACCCGAGUAGUC